rnacentral:rRNA from 1 species
GCCAGGAGCCAUACCAGUUGCAGUUCAGACUAGGUAACUUCCUGAAGCUAAGCAGGUUUGGGCCUGGUCAGUACUUGGAUGGGAGACCAACUCGGAAGGCUGGGAUCCUGCUGGAA